rnacentral:rRNA from 1 species
UACGGAGGGGGCUAGCGUUAUUCGGAAUUACUGGGCGUAAAGCGCACGUAGGCGGAUCUGCAAGUCAGAGGUGAAAUCCCAGGGCUCAACCUUGGAACUGCCUUUGAAACUGCGGGUCUUGAGUUCGAGAGGGGUGAGUGGAAUUCCGGGUGUAGCGGUGAAAUUCGUAGAUAUUCGGAGGAACACCAGUGGCGAAGGCGGCUCCCUGGCUCGAUACUGACGCUGAGGUGCGAAAGCGUGGGGAGCUAACAGG